GACGAACGCUGGCGGCGUGCUUAACACAUGCAAGUCGAACGGAAAGGCCCUGCUUUUGUGGGGUGCUCGAGUGGCGAACGGGUGAGUAACACGUGAGUAACCUGCCCUUGACUUUGGGAUAACUUCAGGAAACUGGGGCUAAUACCGGAUAGGAGCUCCUGCUGCAUGGUGGGGGUUGGAAAGUUUCGGCGGUUGGGGAUGGACUCGCGGCUUAUCAGCUUGUUGGUGGGGUAGUGGCUUACCAAGGCUUUGACGGGUAGCCGGCCUGAGAGGGUGACCGGCCACAUUGGGACUGAGAUACGGCCCAGACUCCUACGGGAGGCAGCAGUGGGGAAUAUUGCAAAAUGGGCGGAAGCCUGAUGCAGCAACGCCGCGUGCGGGAUGACGGCCUUCGGGUUGUAAACCGCUUUCGCCUGUGACGAAGCGUAAGUGACGGUAAUGGGUAAAGAAGCACCGGCUAACUACGUG
rnacentral:rRNA from 1 species